rnacentral:rRNA from 1 species
AUACGGAGGGGGCUAGCGUUGUUCGGAAUUACUGGGCGUAAAGCGCACGUAGGCGGAUUAAAAAGUUAGAGGUGAAAUCCCAGGGCUUAACCCUGGAACUGCCUUUAAAACUAGUAGUCUAGAGUUCGAGAGAGGUGAGUGGAAUUCCAAGUGUAGAGGUGAAAUUCGUAGAUAUUUGGAGGAACACCAGUGGCGAAGGCGGCUCACUGGCUCGAUACUGACGCUGAGGUGCGAAAGCGUGGGGAGCAAACAGGAUUAGAAACCCGAGUAGUCC